ensembl:lincRNA
CACGUGUGGGGCCAGCCCGCUGGCUCCCCCUCACGGCGGAGAAGGAAGCAGAGUAAAUGGCCCCACAGGCACAGGGCCGAGAAACAGACCACGCCAAAGGAAAUGUAGGUGUGGGACCCUGGAGUGCUGAAAGGAACACUUGGUAAGGGAAGCUCAGUGAGAACGGCAGGGUACCAAAGUCAAGAGUCUUCUGCCUGCCCUGAGCAGAAAGAAGACCAUCAUGGUGGCUGUGUUAAAAAUAGUAACUGGAAGGAAUCCCAACAAAAUACAGUUGUUGGGCAAGGACACAACAAAAACUGCAGCAAAUUGCAACAUAUAAGAAUGGAGUUAAGUCCCAGCACCUGGCAGACCUGCUGUGCCAGUAUACCCCUUCUCUUAAUGAAAACAGAAAAGAAGAAAGGAAGACUGGAGAUGUAGCUUAGUUGCAGAGUGCUUGCUUGCAUGCUGAAGACCCUGGUUUGAUCCUCAGCACUGAAAAAAAAAAAAAUGAAGAUAACCAAAAUGCAAUGAAAAAAGAAAAGAUACAUACUUUAAGUCAAUAAAUGUGUAAGACCUAAAUUACAAGCCCAUGCUAAAUGACAAAGGGCCUAGGGGACAGUGCUCUAACUCCCUCCCAUUGUAGCCAUAGCCCCAAUCUUUGUUCUAACCCUAGCCUAGGAAUGUAAGACAAUCUUGUACUGUUUGAAGUCCGGAUCCAAAUUAAUGUGUAAGUUAGUGGCUCUACACCUAGAGACCCCAAGCUAAUUGUCAAGCUGUUUGCUCAUCCAGGAUGUCUUGGUAAACUUUGAAACAUCCAAUAAUAGGUGGUAUCUGUUAACUCAUCAAUAUGUGACUGCCAAGUACGUGGCUGCUGACCACCAGCUCAAAUCAGCAGACCUUUGUCCCCUCCCUGCAAGCCUAAAAUUUAACAUUUUUUACUCCCCUAUAAAAAGGACCUCAGCCCCUGAGCUGGCGCCUCUCUGAGCCAGCUACUUGGUUCCGAGAGUGCCGUCUGGCCAGACUAAUAAAGGUCUAUUUACCAUCUAGCCUGGUGUGUUCCUUCCUGGGUUUCUCGUUCCUCCGUCGAGCUCCCGGAGCCUCGUUGGGCUAUAGGACCCAACAUUGUGGAGGCCUUUUUGGUUGUUCAUGCUCCGUGGAGUGGAAGUGAGACUUUGCGUCUUACAAAUGUAGUGGCUAUAUCAUUUGAAUGGCUAAAUUUUAGGGAUGAAUACAGAUAAAGAACUCAAAACUGUUUCUCUAAGCCAAAGAUACCUCGUUGUGCCUUGUGAGUAAAGAGCUUGAACUCUUUGAUAAAAUAGACUAGACUUUAAAUCCAUACUAUGUCUCUAUUUGCUCUGAGUCCCUUUCUGAGUCUCUUUCAUUGUCUAUAAAUUAGAUAUAAAAGCAGCUGAGUGUGGUAGCACAUGCCUAUAAGCCCAGUACUCAGGAGGCUCAGUAAGAGGGUUGCUGUGAGAUUGAGGCCAGCCUGGACUACAUGGUGAGACUCCAUCUCAAAAGAAAAAAAUAAAAAAGCUACCUUGUAAGGUAGUUUGGAUUAAAUGACCUAACCAAAAGCUCUAAAAACUAAACAGAACAAAAAUAAAAUUUAAAAAAACGUAGUAGGGGGAUUUUGAAUAGUCUUAAGACAAAGAAAAAUGUCUGAAAAAAAUAUAUAUAUAUAUAUCACACCAGUUGCCCAGAUCUGAUCAUUACACAUUGUACAUGGUUUUUUGUUUUUGUUUGUUUUUUGUUUUUUUGUUUUGGUACUAGGGAUCAAAUUCAGGACCUUGCAGUUGCCAGGCAGGAUCCCACACCACUGAGCUAAAUCCCCGCCCCGUAUACAUGUUUUUGAAAUGUUACAAUAUAUCCCCUAAAUAUG